GACAGAGGUGGCGAGCGUUGUUCGGAAUUACUGGGCUUAAAGGGCGCGUAGGCGGUGGUGUAAGUCUGGGGUGGAAUGCUACAGCUCAACUGUAGAGCUGCCUUGGAAACUGCAUUACUUGAGUCGGUGAGGGGAAGGCGGAAUUCCUGGUGUAGCGGUGAAAUGCGUAGAUAUCAGGAGGAAGGUCUGUGGCGAAGGCGGCCUUCUGGCACUUGACUGACGCUGAGGCGCGAAAGCGUGGGGAGCAAACAGGAUUAGAUACCCUGGUAGUCCACGCCCUAAACGGUGGGUAUUAGGUGUGGGGCCUUCAUGGGUUCCGUGCCGUAGCGAAAGCAUUAAAUACCCCGCCUGGGGAGUACGGCCGCAAGGUUGAA
rnacentral:rRNA from 1 species